CCAGCAGCCGCGGUAAUUCCAGCUCCAAUAGCGUAUAUUAAAGUUGUUGCAGUUAAAAAGCUCGUAGUUGAAUUUCUGAUGGGAGUCAUUGGUCUUUUCGCAAGAAAUGUACUUUUGUGCUCCUAUCCAAUUUCUGCAAUCGGGGCAUGCUCUUAAGUGGGUGUGUUACGAGUGCAGAGCAUUUACUUUGAAAAAAUUAGAGUGUUCAAAGCAAACUUUUGUUUGAAUAUGUUAGCAUGGAAUAAUGACAUAGGACAUCAGUUCUAUUUUGUUGGUUUAUAGGACUGGGGUAAUGAUUAAUAGGGAUAGUUGGGGGCAUUAGUAUUUAAUUGUCAGAGGUGAAAUUCUUGGAUUUAUGAAAGA
rnacentral:rRNA from 1 species